rnacentral:rRNA from 1 species
AUGGUUGCCGCUCUGUUCAACUCCCCCUAUGCCCUCACCGCCCUAGCCUUCCUCCUCGCCGUCAUGGUCCUCGUCUCCUCCUCGAAGCGCAACCGCAAUUCCGGCAGGCAGGGCCAGCUGCGGCUUCCUCCAUCACCGCCCGGCCUGCCGGUCGUCGGCCACCUCCACCUGCUCGGGAGCCUGCCGCACCGGAGCCUCCGUGCGCUGGCCGCGACCUACGGCCCGGUGAUGCACCUGCGGCUCGGGCGCGUGCCGACCGUGGUGGCGUGCUCCGCGGCCGCGGCGGAGGAGGCCAUGAGGACCCGGGACCUCGACUUCGCCAGCCGUCCCAGGCUCCUCAUGGUCGACCGCUUCUACUACGGCACCGGCGGGAUCGGCUUUGCACCGUACGGGGAGCACUGGCGCCAGGCGCGCCGCGUCUGCGUCACCCACAUGCUCAACGCGCACCGCGUCGCGUCCCUGGGUGGCGUCCGGGCGCAGGAGGCCGCCGCGCUCGUGGACCGGGUGCACCGCCACGCCGGGGCCGUCGUGAACAUCAGCGACAACCUCAUUGUGUACUCUAACACGGUCAUCUCCCGCUGCACGUUCGGCGACACGGACUACGGGGUUGAAGGAGGCGGCGGCGGCGCGAGGCUGAGGAAGGUGUUCGCAGAGAUCGAGGAGCUCCUGGGCACGGUGCCCAUGGGAGAGACGGUGCCGUGGCUGCGGUGGGUGGACGUCGUCACGGGGCUGGAGAAGAAGACGCGGCGUGUCUUUGAAGAGAUGGACGGACUACUGGAGCGGGUCAUCGCCGACCACCGCCAGCGCCGCCGCGCGGGUGCGGCCACCGGGGAGGAGGGAGACUUCGUGGACGUGAUGCUGGACGCUGAAGAGCUGGACACGGGCAGCAUCAAGGGCAUCAUCCUGGACAUGCUGGCCGCCGCGACGGACUCCACCUUCACGCUCCUGGAAUGGGCCAUGGCGGAGCUCAUCAGCCACCCGCACGAGAUGCGCAAGCUACAGGACGAGGUCCGCGCGGCAGUCGGACCGGCCGCCGGCGCCGUCGUGACGGAGGAGCAUCUCCCCCGCCUGCCUUACCUGAAGGCGGUGGUGAAGGAGACGCUGCGCCUCCACCCGCCGACGCCGUUGCUCCUGCCGCGGGAGACGCUGGAGGACACGCGGCUGCUGGGCUACGACGUGCCGGCGGGCACCCGGGUCCUGAUCCACGCCUGGGCCAUCGGCCGCGACCCGGCAACGUGGGGGAGCCGCGCCGAGGAGUUCGCGCCGGAGCGGUUCCUCGGGUACGACCUCAAGAUGGGCCAGGAUUUCGCCUUCUUGCCAUUCGGCGCCGGGAGGAGGGGCUGUCCCGGCGUCGGGUUCGCCAUGUUGUCGAACGAGCUGGCGCUGGCGAGCCUGGUGUAUAACUUUGACUGGGAGCAGCCCGGCGGUAGGAUGCCGCCGGUAGACAUGAGCGAGCUGCACGGCCUCUCCGUGCGCCUCAAGGCGCCUCUGCUUCUGGUUGCCAAAUCUUGGUCGCCUGUGUCUGGGAUGGAGAGCAAUUAA